rnacentral:rRNA from 1 species
GAGUUUGAUCCUGGCUCAGGAUGAACGCUGGCGGCGUGCUUAACACAUGCAAGUCGAACGGGAAUUACUUUAUUGAAACUUCGGUCGAUUUAAUUUAAUUCUAGUGGCGGACGGGUGAGUAACGCGUGGGUAACCUGCCUUAUACAGGGGGAUAACAGUCAGAAAUGACUGCUAAUACCGCAUAAGCGCACAGAGCUGCAUGGCUCAGUGUGAAAAACUCCGGUGGUAUAAGAUGGACCCGCGUUGGAUUAGCUAGUUGGUGGGGUAACGGCCCACCAAGGCGACGAUCCAUAGCCGGCCUGAGAGGGUGAACGGCCACAUUGGGACUGAGACACGGCCCAGACUCCUACGGGAGGCAGCAGUGGGGAAUAUUGCACAAUGGGGGAAACCCUGAUGCAGCGACGCCGCGUGAAGGAAGAAGUAUCUCGGUAUGUAAACUUCUAUCAGCAGGGAAGAAAAUGACGGUACCUGACUAAGAAGCCCCGGCUAACUACGUGCCAGCCGCCGCGGUAAUAC